rnacentral:rRNA from 1 species
CCCUUAGAUGUUCUGGGCCGCACGCGCGCUACACUGACGAAGUCAGCGAGCAUGUCCUACGCCGACAGGUGCGGGGAAUCUUGUCAAACUCCGUCGUGAUGGGGAUUGAUUAUUGAAAUUCUUGAUCAUCAACGAGGAAUUCCUAGUAAGCGCAAGUCAGCAGCUUGCGUUGAUUACGUCCCUGCCCUUUGUACACACCGCCCGUCGCUACUACCGAUUGAAUGGUUUAGUGAGAUCUUCGGAUUGGCGCCACUGCGGCUCAGCAAUGGGCUCGGUGGAUGCCGAAAAGUUGAUCAAACUUGAUCAUUUAGAGGAAGUAAAAGUCGUAACA